rnacentral:rRNA from 1 species
UACGUAGGGGGCAAGCGUUGUCCGGAUUUACUGGGCGUAAAGAGCGCGCAGGCGGUCGUUCAAGUCGCGUGUGAAAGCCCCCGGCUCAACUGGGGAGGGUCACGCGAUACUGAUCGACUCGAAGGCAGGAGAGGGAAGUGGAAUUCCCGGUGUAGUGGUGAAAUGCGUAGAUAUCGGGAGGAACACCAGUGGCGAAGGCGACUUCCUGGCCUGUUCUUGACGCUGAGGCGCGAAAGCUAGGGGAGCAAACGGG